rnacentral:lncRNA from 1 species
CAGAGGCUUAGAAAUAGGAGGCUGGAUCUCAAAAAUCUUAUAUGUAAAAGUCUCUUAGAAAAGCUGUUGUGUGAACAAGAACAGACGAGCAUAUUGGAUAAUGAGAACCACAGCCUCCAGACUUGAGUGUGCAGCUUCUUAGAUCAUCUCAUCUGCCAAGCUUAUAUCAUAAACAUAGCGGACCAAGUCAGGAUCAGCCAUGUCAGGACCAGAUCAAAAGUACUAACUUAAUGACUCAUGCAAUAGUGCCCAGUACAGAGACAGUCAAAACUCAAUUUGGGAUCAAACAACAGAGAAUAACUAUUAGUACUUUGCUCC